GCAUAUCAAUAAGCGGAGGAAAAGAAACCAACAGGGAUUGCCCCAGUAACGGCGAGUGAAGCGGCAACAGCUCAAAUUUGAAAUCUGGCCCCUCGGGGUCCGAGUUGUAAUUUGUAGAGGAUGCUUUUGGUGAGGUGCCGCCCGAGUUCCCUGGAACGGGACGCCACAGAGGGUGAGAGCCCCGUCUGGCUGGCCACCGAGCCUCUGUAAAGCUCCUUCGACGAGUCGAGUAGUUUGGGAAUGCUGCUCAAAAUGGGAGGUAUAUGUCUUCUAAAGCUAAAUAUUGGCCAGAGACCGAUAGCGCACAAGUAGAGUGAUCGAAAGAUGAAAAGCACCUUGAAAAGAGGGUUAAAUAGUACGUGAAAUUGUUGAAAGGGAAGCGCUUGUGACCAGACUUGGGCGCGGCGGAUCAUCCGGGGUUCUCUCCGGUGCACUUCGCCGCGUCUAGGCCAGCAUCAGUUCGUCGCGGGGGAAAAAGGCUUCGGGAACGUGGCUCCUCCGGGAGUGUUAUAGCCCGUUGCAUAAUACCCUGCGGUGGACUGAGGACCGCGCAUCUGCAAGGAUGCUGGCGUAAUGGUCACCAGCGACCCGUCUUGAAACACGGACCAAGGAGUCGUCUUCGUAUGCGAGUGUUCGGGUGUCAAACCCCUACGCGUAAUGAAAGUGAACGCAGGUGAGAGCUUCGGCGCAUCAUCGACCGAUCCUGAUGUUCUCGGAUGGAUUUGAGUAAGAGCAUACGGGGCCGGACCCGAAAGAAGGUGAACUAUGCCUGUAUAGGGUGAAGCCAGAGGAAACUCUGGUGGAGGCUCGCAGCGGUUCUGACGUGCAAAUCGAUCGUCAAAUAUGGGCAUGGGGGGCGAAAGACUAAUCGAACCUUCUAGUAGCUGGGUUUCCGCCGAA
rnacentral:rRNA from 1 species